rnacentral:lncRNA from 1 species
UAAGUGGAGCCUUUUUAGAUUCGGUUUAAUCAGAAGAAUAAUAAGUUAACCUAGUAUGCAACUCAUGAGGAAAUAAUCAUCUUUUUAAUAUUUACAUCAUCCCCAAAACUUAAACACCGCCAAAAUGAAUUUUGAACUCGUUAUUGUACCGGAGAACAAGUUCUCUUCUACACUUCGUGCUUCUAAUUGGGGAAAGAAAAAUUAACUAAUUGACAAACUUCAUUGUCGUGGCUAUAAUCCGAUGCAUAUAAGACAUUCCACCUAGCUAAGUAAUUUCUCCCUGCAUCCAAAAAAGGUCAAUAAACCUAACAAAAUUAAUUAGUUCUAUAAAGAUUGUGAAGUUGAGUUAUUUUACUCAGCAGGUGGUUGAGCUGCAGUUACAUCUGCUGGUACACUAUUUACUUUUGACGGUGGACUGUAUUUUCUAAGCAGCCAAUCUUUGUUUUCUUUCAACCAUUUUUCUUCUUGCUGCCCAGCAAGCCUUUUCUAGUUGUAGAAAUGUGGGAAUUAGUAAUGGUAACUAUUAAAAUCUUCAUGUGCAAAAAUGUUGUAGCAAAUGUUGUAGUGUUAUUGAAGCAGCACCCUUUUUUAAAUUCGAUGCUUUACUUUCAGCUCCAUGGAUAUACUUCUUCUAUCAUUCCAAGGCGAAAGAGCUAAAUAAAUGUUUGAAAAGUCGAGGAACGUCCAAGAAUUAAUCAAGAUUCAAACAAACACAACACAACAAACAGUAAAAUAAAGUGCAGAAAAUUGUAAAUGAACACAAGAUUUUUCGGCCGAAGCCCCAGAGGUUCGACGACCACUUCUAAUGCCUAUUCCCCUGUUAAGCAUCCAUUAAAAUGGAUAAAGUUCGGUUGCACUAUAAAGCCCCAAAAAUCAGGCAACAAAAUACAAUCAUGUUUCAGCAAUACUACAGAAAAAAGUCACCAAGACUUAUCUUUAAAAGAAGGCACAAUUUACGCCUCACUCCACUAAGGAAUUAAAAUCUGGAUCACAUAGAUCACCAAAAUCGAACUGCCUUCAUAUAAUCACCAAGAAUCAUACACAAUCAACAGAGAAGAGCACCCUACUAUAUGCAUCUAUAGCAUUACACGGUUUCCAGAUUUAAUUGCUGAAAACACUUAAGAAUCGACCCUACUCCACAAAGGAGAAGCAAGUCUUCACCGAGAAGAGAGAACCGAAGAAGCUGACUCUAAAAACCAAGAAUAAUGCCUCUCUCACAGAUCUGAAAUUCAGCAAAAAUGGAGUCUAAACACAAGAAAGAAAAUCGACCAGAAAGUUUGUCCCAAAACCAAGAAUAUUUCUCCCCAACAUCUCCAAAAUAAAAGAUCCAAAAUCACCAAGAAUGGAGUCUUUCUCGCAGGGAAGAAGAGAGAGAGUUCGGACUUCAAAAUCAAAAUUAAUCUCUCAAAAUGUUGCUGUCGUCCAGUGAGAAUUGCAUCAGAAAUGAGAGUUAAUUUAGGGAAGAAGAAGACUGAAAAGGGAAGACUUGAACCCUAGUAAUUCUCUCACUUCUUUCUGCCGAAAAACAAAAACAAAGUCUCUAAAAUUUUC